AGGUAGGAGCACAUUAGCACUAACUUACCGGACCAUAUAAGAACUCUACAGUUAAGCGUGCUUAGGUGAGAACGGUUGUAAGAUGAGUGAUCUCCCGGGAAGUUCCCGGGUCGUACACC
rnacentral:rRNA from 1 species